GAUGAAGAACGUAGCAAAAUGCGAUAAGUAAUGUGAAUUGCAGAAUUCAGUGAACCAUCGAAUCUUUGAACGCACAUUGCGCCCGCCAGCACUCUGGCGGGCAUGCCUGUCCGAGCGUCACUCACGACCCUCAGGCCCCCCCGGGGGCCUGGCGUUGGGGUGCCGGCCCUCGCGGCCGCCCCCUAAAUGCAGUGGCGACCCCGCCGCGGCCUCCCCUGCGCAGUAGCAACACCUCGCACCGGAGCGCGGAGGCGGUCCGCCGUGAAACGACCCCAGCUCAGCAGCUGACCUCGGAUCAGGUAGGAAUACCCGCUGAACUUAAGCAUAUCAAUAAGCGGAGGA
rnacentral:misc_RNA from 1 species